rnacentral:rRNA from 1 species
CGUAGGGUGCGAGCGUUGUCCGGAAUUACUGGGCGUAAAGAGCUUGUAGGCGGUCUGUCGCGUCUUCUGUGAAAACUUGGGGCUCAACCUUAAGCUUGCAGGCGAUACGGGCAGACUAGAGUACUUCAGGGGAGACUGGAAUUCCUGGUGUAGCGGUGAAAUGCGCAGAUAUCAGGAGGAACACCGGUGGCGAAGGCGGGUCUCUGGGAAGUAACUGACGCUGAGAAGCGAAAGCGUGGGUAGCGAACAGGAUUAGAUACCCUGGUAGUCCACGCCGUAAACGGUGGGUACUAGGUGUGGGUUUCCUUCCACGGGAUCCGUGCCGUAGCUAACGCAUUAAGUACCCCGCCUGGGGAGUACGGCCGCAAGGCUA